UGAUCCUGAUUUUCCAGAUUCGGCUACUAUUUUGGCAGAGUUUUCUCCACGUAUGUGGAGG
rnacentral:sRNA from 1 species